ensembl:lncRNA
CCAGGGGUGGAGCCUGGGCCACGGGGGUGGAGCUUGGGCCAUGAGGGCUCUGGGGGUGGAGCCUGGGCCAAGAGGGCUCUGGGGGUGGCAUGCCGACUCAGAAGCCCUGCUCUUGUUGCACCCAGCGGCAGUGUAACAGGCGCCAGAACUGGGCCAGGGUCAAGAGACCUGAGCCGGAUCGAGCUCUGCCCUGACCCUUGACCAAGGUGGCCUUCAGACCCUCGAGGCUCUGGCCUCUGAAGCUCGGACACGAGAAGUUUCUGGCUCUGCAACUGGGAGGUCAGCCUGCGGAAGAGGACUUCGGAGCCAGUACGUGGCUUCCAGCACAGUCCUCUGGUUCUCGCAACAAGGCCCGGUGGCCCCCAGGCCCGCCGGGGUGACGGCCGGGCCUGGGCAGGCUCUCGGAGCCCUUGUUCUGUCUGUGGCAAGAGCCUGGGGCCGCCGCACCCACCCCCGCCCCGGCCCUCUGAGCUGGGUCAUCCUUGCAGACGGGGCUGUGUGUAGAGGGCCAGCUCGGCCCGCUGGAUGCCCUCCCACCUCUGCUUCCUGGGCAGCCAGACAGCAGUGUUGGAGCCUGAAAACCUGCUGUCCCAAGAGGCAUGGCCAGACUGUCGGAACCAACAGGUCUGCCCAGGUUCCUACUACUGAUGCCGGGAAAUGGUGCCUGGGCUAAAAUGAUUAAAGGAAGUCACCACCCCGCGAGACAGAGCUAAUUGAGAAGUUUGCUUAUUCCUAGUGGAAGAAAUGGGAUUAGUCUGAGAUAUCUGAAAAUUCACUGGAAAGAGACUGCCAAGUACCUUUUCAAAAUCGGUGGCUUUGGAAUUAAGUUAAGGACUUAAACUCUGUGAU